rnacentral:snoRNA from 1 species
GCAAUGAAGACUACUUGUAAUUGGUCUCGUUCGUCGUAACGGCAUUCCAAUGCCUUGCCGACUAUCCUGUUAUAUCACCACUUCAAUUUUUUUUGU